CAAAUGUGAGUAGGAGUGGGCCUCAAAUUUCACAUCUACUCUUUGCAGAUGAUUGCGUUCUUUUUGGAGAGGCUUCAAAGAGGGAUGUACAUGUCAUUAAACGGAUUUUGGAAUGAAGUAUGUUCGGGACAAUGUGUGAAUUUUGGAAAAUCUACGAUUUUUUAUAGUGCAAAUACUUCUGAUAUGGUUAGGGUGCAACUAUCAACGGAAUUGGGAGUUCGAUGCUCAAAUAACCUAGAGAGAUACCUAGGCCUUCCUAAUGUGGUGGGUAGAAAUAAAAAGGCUUCGUUUUAGGUUUUGAAGGAUUGGAUGAAAAGGAAAAUUGAUGGGUGGAGUACGAGAUUUCUCUCACAAUGGGGCAAGGAGAUAUUUAUAAAGUCAAUACUUCAAGCCAUACCGGUGUAUUCUAUGGCCCGUUUCUUAUUGCCAAAAUUUUUAUGUGGGGAAAUGGAAAUUAUUGUGGCAGGAUUUUUAUGGCAAAAGGGUCAUGGACGUAGGGGUAUUCACUAGUGUGAAUGGGGAAGAAUGUAUGAUUUGAAAAAGGAAGGGGUUUGGGUUUCAGAAGUUUUAAGAAAUUUAAUGUGGCUCUCUUAGACAAACAAGGAUGGAGACUUAUUAAUUAUCUCAAUUCUUUAAUUGCUCGAGUUUUGAAAGCCAAAUGUUACCCUCGAUCUGAUUUUUUCAUUGUUAGCUUAAGACAUGGGGUGUCAUAUACUUGGAGAAGUAUCUGGUCAGUGAAGAAGUUGUUGUGUGAUGGGACCGGAUGGAGAGUGGGUACGAGAGAUGGGAUUUCAAUUAUUAAUCAUGCAUGGAUUCCAGGUUCAGAUGAUUAUAAAUUAAGCAAUGGGGUUGAAAAUAAAGAAAGGAGGAGGGAGCCUAUUUUGGAUACCUUUUCGAGUAUUGAUGUAGGUAGAAUACUAAGCAUUCCUUUGGCUAGUAUUCCUCAUGAGGAUGUGAUGGUGUGGAGAGGCGAGCCUUUAGGGGACUUUUCUAUACGAAGCACCUAAAAACUGGUAUUUCUACCCCUACUUUUAAUGAGAUAUAGACCAAUGCUAGAGAUUUCUAUAGAAAGCUACGGGGCCUAAAGCUUCGACUAAAAUUAAAAUUUCAAUAUGGCAAAUUUAGAAGAAUUAUAUUCGUACUUUAAAAAAUUUGCAUUUUAUGCGACUUGUUUCAAGUCUGAUAUGCCCAAGAUGUGGUAAUGCUGUUGAAAAUUUAGACCAUGUCUUUCGUGGUUGCCCUGUUACAAUUUAAGUUUGGAUGUUAUUAGGGUUUCAUGGAAUUAUGUCAAAUUUUGACCAGGGAUUUUUUGAAUGGUAUACCUGGGUCUUUAGAGAAUGUUCGAUUACCCAAAAUCGAGUAUUUUGUGUUACACUAUGAAGCCCGUAGCCAGAUAGAAACAAGAAGGUGCACGAAAAAAUUAGUAAAACAGGUAGGGCGAUUGCCACUUCUAUAUUUUGUUACAUAAAAGAAUUGGAGAUUGAAGAGGUAAGGGAAGUAACCAGACAAGGUAAGGAAAGAAAAUGGGAACCUCCUGUAGGGGCGAGAAUUAAAAUAAACUUUGACGCGGCCUUUGAUGAAUUGCAUUCUAGAUUGGGAUCGGGAAUCGUUGCUAGGAGUGCUUUGGGUACAGUUUUGGUAUCUCGAUCGAUUCUGCAUGUAGAGGUUGGAACGGUUUUUGCAGCUGAGGCCUUCUCGUGUUCAUGGGCAAUACAAAUGGGCUUAGAAAUGGGGUUAACGGAAGCAACAAGUUAUACACGAUAGAUCUAAUAUAAGCGCCUAUAUUCGAAACAGCUAACAGAAGAUGAACAGUUUUACUUUUAUUCGGCUUAAACAUGCAAGUUAUUUUGAAAAUCAGUUAGCCUAUUUUUUAGCAAAGGAGAGUCUGAGAUCUGGUGAAGGCUUUUACCUGGAAGAUGUUGUCCCGAGUUAUGCGAUGAGGACGAUGAAAGCUGAACGGGUGUGAGAGCCGGAUUGAGGAGGAUCGGAAGCAAGUUUUCCAGCCCCGGUGAAAGGAAAGAAAGGAUGAGAACUCUUUUCUUGUGUUUUUUUGGAUAUCUGCAAAAUCGGGUUUGGAAAAGGAAACUUCUUGGAAAUGAAACCGUCCGAUUUUGAAAUGAUGAGGGGAUAAGGCCGGUUUUACUUUUCCUAUUUGGCUGGGCUAGGUAGUUUAUUUUUUAAUUGCUUGUUUUGGUUCUAUGUUUCAUUUCUGGUUUUGGGCUCGGUGGGGUCGUGCCAGAUCAUUUCCAUUGUGUUAUCAUUUUUCUUCUUUUAAUAACAAAUCCUGG
rnacentral:lncRNA from 1 species